GAUGAAGAACGUAGCGAAGUGCGAUAAGUAAUGUGAAUUGCAGAAUUCCGUGAAUCAUCGAAUCUUUGAACGCAAAUUGCACUUUCUGGUAUUCCGGAGAGUAUGCCUGUUUGAGGGUCAGUGUAAUAAAUAAAUCGUGGUUGUUACCACCUUUCGUGGUGACGCUUCGGAAUUGAGUCGUCUUUACCCUUCGGGUUAAAGUGACUUAAAAUUUUUUCAUACGAUUUCGAAACGUAUUUAAUGUAUUUAUGUACGUUCACGAAUAUCGAAUGUUUUAUUAGGUGCGGUCAUUUUUCAUGAAUUCGCGUCUAUAAUUUUUUUUUUUUUGACCUCAAAUCAGGUAAGAAUACCCGCUGAACUUAAGCAUAUCAAUAGCGGAGGA
rnacentral:misc_RNA from 1 species